CAUGCCGGAAGCCGUAGGGACUCAGCGCAGAGUCCUCGUCAUAGUGACGCUGGUAGGAAUCAUAAUAUUCAUGCCCAUUCCGACCUCUGUUCAGCCAAUAGGUGACGUCAUCUUCAAAUUUCUGGAGGAAAAGAGCACCACAGAGAAUGGAUUCAAGGACCCCCACGCCCUGUAGACCACGUCUCACCUCUGCGUCUUCUCUGUGAUGGCUUUUCUUCAGUGAUUAACAGCUCUACCCGACAGUCACCCUUUAUUAUCGGAUUCUGUACUCAGGUGCUGCUGAAGGUGCAAGAAGACCAGUGUUCUCCCACAUGACUCACAGGAUUGUGCGAUUUGACAGUGCUUGCAGACCCUUCCCUAAUUCUACCGUUAGCCCCAGUGACUCCACUGGAGAAUGGAAUACCAGGGAAGGAACGAACCACAUACAAGGAUGCAAGUAACAGUACCUGUUUUUUGGUU